rnacentral:rRNA from 1 species
UUGACAAUCUGAGCUCAAAUCAGGUAGGACUACCCGCUG